rnacentral:rRNA from 1 species
CGGGUGAGUAACGUAUGUUUAAUCUACCUUGUAGUUUGGAAUAACCAUUGGAAACGAUGGCUAAUACUGAAUACUAUUUAUAUUGGAAUCAUUAUAAGUUAAAAGGGGCGUUUGCCCUGCUAUAAGAUGAGAACAUAUUACAUUAGCUAGUUGGUAGGGUAAAGGCCUACCAAGGCAAUGAUGUAUAGCCGAGCCGAGAGGUUGAUCGGCCACAAUGGGACUGAGACACGGCCCAUACUCCUACGGGAGGCAGCAGUAGGGAAUUUUUCACAAUGGACGAAAGUCUGAUGAAGCAAUACCGCGUGAGGGAAGACGGUUUUAGGACUGUAAACCUCUGUUAUAAGGGAAGAAUAUGUCGGAGAGGAAAUGCUCCGUGCAGUGACGGUACUUUAUUAGAAAGUCACGGCUAACUAUGUGCCAGCAGCCGCGGUAAUACAUAGGUGGCAAGCGUUAUCCGGAUUUAUUGGGCGUAAAGAGUGCACAGGUGGUUAUAUAAGUUUGAUGUUAAAGACCGAAGCUCAACUUCGGUUCGCAUUGAAAACUGUAUAACUAGAAUGCAGGUGGGAAUAGUGGAAUUCGAUGUGUAGCGGUGGAAUGCAUAAAUAUAUCGAGGAACACCAGUGGCGAAGGCGGCUAUUUGAACUGUAAUUGACACUUAAGCACGAAAGCGUGGGGAGCAAAUAGGAUUAGAUACCCUAGUAGUCCACGCCGUAAACGAUCUAGAUUAGAUGUCGGAAUUAUUCGGUAUCGCAGCUAACGCAUUAAAUCUAGCGCCUGGGUAGUACGCACGCAAGUGUAAAACUCAAAGGAAUUGACGGGGACCCGCACAAGUGGUGGAGCAUGUGGUUUAAUUCGAUGAUACGCGAAAAACCUUACCUACGCUUGACAUACUUGGCAAAACUAUAGAGAUAUAGUCGAGGUUAACCAAUGUACAGGUGGUGCAUGGUUGUCGUCAGCUCGUGUCGUGAGAUGUUUGGUUAAGUCCAGCAACGAGCGCAACCCCUAUCCUAUGUUACCAGCAUUCAGUUGGGGACUCAUGGGAGACUGCUAGGGUAACCUAGAGGAAGGUGGGGAUGACGUCAAAUCAUCAUGCCCCUUAUGCGUAGGGCUACACACGUGCUACAAUGGUACAUACAAAGUGCUGCAAACCCGCGAGGGUAAGCGAAUCACAAAAAAUGUAUCUCAGUCCGGAUCGAAGUCUGCAAUUCGACUUCGUGAAGUUGGAAUCACUAGUAAUCGUAGGUCAGCAAUACUACGGUGAAUACGUUGUCGGG